rnacentral:rRNA from 1 species
AGUCAAUAGAUACCCGGGUAGUCCAUGCCGUAAACGAUGAUUGCUAGGUGUGGGGGGUCUGACCCCUUCCGUGCCGGAGUUAAACAACAAAUAAGCAAUCCACCUGGGGAGUACGGCCGCAAGGUUGAAACUCAAAGGAAUUGACGGGGGGCCCGGCACAAGCAGUGGAGUAUGUGGUUUAAUUCGAAGCAACGCGAAGAACCUUACCAGGUCUUGACAUCCACCGAAUCCUGUAGAGAUACGGGAGUGCCCUUCGGGGAACGGUGAGACAGGUGGUGCAUGGUUGUCGUCAGCUCGUGUCGUGAGAUGUUGGGUUAAGUCCCGCAACGAGCGCAACCCUUGUGAAUAGUUGCUACGAAAGAGCACUCUAUUCAGACCGCCGUUGACAAAACGGAGGAAGGUGGGGAUGACGUCAAAUCAUCAUGCCCCGUUAUGACCUGGGCUACACACGUACUACAAUGGCCGUUAACAGAGGGAUGCAAUGCCGCGAGGUGGAGCGAACCCCGUAAAAACGGUCUCAGUUCAGAUUGCAGGCUGAAACUCG